rnacentral:rRNA from 1 species
UAGGGAAUCUUCGGCAAUGGGGGCAACCCUGACCGAGCAACGCCGCGUGAGUGAAGAAGGUUUUCGGAUCGUAAAGCUCUGUUGUAAGUCAAGAACGAGUGUGAGAGUGGAAAGUUCACACUGUGACGGUAGCUUACCAGAAAGGGACGGCUAACUACGUGCCAACAGCCGCGGUAAUACGUAGGUCCCGAGCGUUGUCCGGAUUUAUUGGGCGUAAAGCGAGCGCAGGCGGUUUGAUAAGUCUGAAGUUAAAGGCUGUGGCUCAACCAUAGUUCGCUUUGGAAACUGUCAAACUUGAGUGCAGAAGGGGAGAGUGGAAUUCCAUGUGUAGCGGUGAAAUGCGUAGAUAUAUGGAGGAACACCGGUGGCGAAAGCGGCUCUCUGGUCUGUAACUGACGCUGAGGCUCGAAAGCGUGGGGAGCGAACAGGAUUAGAUACCCUGGUAGUCCACGCCGUAAACGAUGAGUGCUAGGUGUUGGAUCCUUUCCGGGAUUCAGUGCCGCAGCUAACGCAUUAAGCACUCCGCCUGGGGAGUACGACCGCAAGGUUG